AGUGAACGCUGGCGGCAGGCCUAACACAUGCAAGUCGAGCGGCAGCACAGGAGAGCUUGCUCUCUGGGUGGCGAGCGGCGGACGGGUGAGGAACACAUCGGAAUCUACCCAGUUGUGGGGGAUAACGUAGGGAAACUUACGCUAAUACCGCAUACGACCUACGGGUGGAAGCAGGGGACCUUCGGGCCUUGCGCGAUUGGAUGAGCCGAUGUCGGAUUAGCUAGUUGGUGGGGUAAAGGCCCACCAAGGCGACGAUCCGUAGCUGGUCUGAGAGGAUGAUCAGCCACACUGGAACUGAGACACGGUCCAGACUCCUACGGGAGGCAGCAGUGGGGAAUACUGGACAAUGGGCGCAAGCCUGAUCCAGCCAUGCCGCGUGUGUGAAGAAGGCCUUCGGGUUGUAAAGCACUUUUGUACGGGAAGAAACCUUCCGGGUUAAUACCCCGGGAGAAUGACGGUACCGUAAGAAUAAGCACCGGCUAACUUCGUGCCAGCCGCCGCCGUAA
rnacentral:rRNA from 1 species